GACGAAGGAUUCAAGCGUUGUCCGGAUUUACUGGGUUUAAAGGGUGCGUAGGCGGACAUAUAAGUCAGUGGUGAAAUCCCGCAGCUCAACUGCGGAACUGCCAUUGAAACUGCAUUUCUUGAAUACGGUUGAGGUAGAUGGAAUGUAACAUGUAGCGGUGAAAUGCUUAGAUAUGUUACAGAACUCCGAUUGCGAAGGCAGUCUACUAAGCCGUUAUUGACGCUGAGGCACGAAAGCGUGGGGAGCAAACAGG
rnacentral:rRNA from 1 species